GACGAACGCUGGCGGCGUGCUUAACACAUGCAAGUCGAACGGAAAGGCCCUGCUUUUGUGGGGUGCUCGAGUGGCGAACGGGUGAGUAACACGUGAGUAACCUGCCCUUGACUUUGGGAUAACUUCAGGAAACUGGGGCUAAUACCGGAUAGGAGCUCCUGCUGCAUGGUGGGGGUUGGAAAGUUUCGGCGGUUGAGGAUGGACUCGCGGCUUAUCAGCUUGUUGGUGGGGUAGUGGCUUACCAAGGCUUUGACGGGUAGCCGGCCUGAGAGGGUGACCGGCCACAUUGGGACUGAGAUACGGCCCAGACUCCUACGGGAGGCAGCAGUGGGGAAUAUUGCACAAUGGGCGGAAGCCUGAUGCAGUAACGCCGCGUGCGGGAUGACGGCCUUCGGGUUGUAAACCGCUUUCGCCUGUGACGAAGCGUGAGUGACGGUAAUGGGUAAAGAAGCACCGGCUAACUACGUG
rnacentral:rRNA from 1 species